UACCAGACUCCUACGGGAGGCAGCAGUGAGGAAUAUUGGUCAAUGGGCUUACGCCUGAACCAGCCAAGUCGCGUGAGGGAAGACUGCCCUAUGGGUUGUAAACCUCUUUUGUCAGGGAGCAACGCCGGCUACGUGUAGCCGGACUGAGAGUACCUGAAGAAAAAGCAUCGGCUAACUCCGUGCCAGCAGCCGCGGUAAUACGGAGGGUGCGAGCGUUAAUCGGAAUUACUGGGCGUAAAGCGCACGUAGGCUGUAUGACAAGUCAAGGGUGAAAUGCCACGGCUCAACCGUGGAACUGCCUUUGAAACUGUCAAACUGGAGUAUGUGAGAGGGCGGCGGAAUUCCUGGUGUAGGAGUGAAAUCCGUAGAUAUCAGGAGGAACAUCAGUGGCGAAGGCGGCCGCCUGGCACAAAACUGACGCUGAGGUGCGAAAGCGUGGGUAGCAAACAGGAUUAGAUACCCCCGUA
rnacentral:rRNA from 1 species